AAAUUGAAGAGUUUGAUCAUGGCUCAGAUUGAACGCUGGCGGCAGGCCUAACACAUGCAAGUCGAACGGUAACAGGAAGAAGCUUGCUUCUUUGCUGACGAGUGGCGGACGGGUGAGUAAUGUCUGGGAAACUGCCUGAUGGAGGGGGAUAACUACUGGAAACGGUAGCUAAUACCGCAUAACGUCGCAAGACCAAAGAGGGGGACCUUCGGGCCUCUUGCCAUCGGAUGUGCCCAGAUGGGAUUAGCUUGUUGGUGGGGUAACGGCUCACCAAGGCGACGAUCCCUAGCUGGUCUGAGAGGAUGACCAGCCACACUGGAACUGAGACACGGUCCAGACUCCUACGGGAGGCAGCAGUGGGGAAUAUUGCACAAUGGGCGCAAGCCUGAUGCAGCCAUGCCGCGUGUAUGAAGAAGGCCUUCGGGUUGUAAAGU
rnacentral:rRNA from 1 species